AGAACGAACGCUGGCGGCAGGCUUAACACAUGCAAGUCGAGCGCUGUAGCAAUACAGAGCGGCAGACGGGUGAGUAACGCGUGGGAACAUACCCUCCGGUUCGGAAUAACUCAGGGAAACUUGAGCUAAUACCGAAUACGGUCGAGAGGCGAAAGAUUUAUCGCCGGAGGAUUGGCCCGCGUUCGAUUAGCUAGUUGGUGAGGUAACGGCUCACCAAGGCGACGAUCGAUAGCUGGUCUGAGAGGAUGAUCAGCCACAUUGGGACUGAGACACGGCCCAAACUCCUACGGGAGGCAGCAGUGGGGAAUAUUGGACAAUGGGCGAAAGCCUGAUCCAGCCAUGCCGCGUGAGUGAUGACGGCCUUAGGUUGUAAGCUCUUUCGCUAGGGACAUAAUGACGGUACCUAGACAAGAAGCCCCGGCUAACUUCGUGCCAGCAGCCGC
rnacentral:rRNA from 1 species